rnacentral:lncRNA from 1 species
UAUACUGUAUGCACAUGCACGCAUGCAAGUAAGCAAGUUAAAGGAACAUGAGAACUUAAGAGAAUAAUACAAUACUUAUUUUUUCCUGACUUCAAAUCUUUUUUUUCUGUCAACAUUUUCCCCUAAUUUUCCUUCCCCAACAAGAAAAAAGAACAAAGAGAGAGAAGUGUUUUGUUUGAAUUUAGAGUGAGAAGAAAAUCAAACACCAUUUUUCUCAUAAUUUUUGCAAAGGCUAUUAAAGGGAUUUGAGUGGGGAGCUCUUCCUUGAAUAGAAUUGCCCUGGAUGGAAUUCCAUCCUGCCAUUGUUGCCGCCAGGCACAUUCAGGGGAACUGGAUGUAUUGAGAGUCCUAGACUCUUUCAUUUUCCAUCUCACUGUUUCUCUUAUGUCCGAAAGUAGUAUAUUUGGGUAAAUACUUAUUUGGAUUCCAAUCUCUGUGAAAUUGAGCUGAAUUUAUUAGGUUUGUUUUAUUGAUUUGAAUUAAAAUUGAACUCCACUUGUAGCAAACAAUACAGUGCUUUGAUCAUUUUAAUUCUUGUUCUGAUCUUAAGUGGGGAUAGUUUAAGCUCAUUUUGGUUAAAUCAGUUUAUGGUCAAAUUGGCUAAUCUUCUUAACAAAUAUUUACUGAGCAUCAACUAUAUUCAUUAACACUGAAUUUUGUUAAGAUGAAAGGAAAUAUAACAGGUUUUCAGACCUUGAUCCUUGAAAAGUUAACCAAUUCAAGGAUGCUAAAUGAGUGAUAAGGUAUUCAAAGCCCUUUGGAAGUUUGAGACCAGGAACUUCUAUAAGUCCUGAUUUGUAAUCAGGCAGUACUGGCACACUUUCUAGUGGGAGACAACCCUCAAGGUAAAUUUACUCUUUGGCAUUCUGAGCAUAUGCAAGUUGAAAACCACUGCUUGAGGCUCUGAAAGUCAUUGAGGAGUUCCCAUCGUGGCUCAGCAUAAACAAAUCCUACUAGGAACCAUGAGGUUUCAGGUUCCAUCCUUGGCCUUACUCAGUGGAUUAAGGAUCUGGCAUUGCCGUGAGCUGUGGUGUAGGUCAAAGACAUGGCUCAGAUUCCACGUUGCUACGGCUCUGGUGUAGGCUGGUGGCUACAGCUCUGAUUAGACCCCUAGCCUGGGAACCUCCAUAUGCAGUGGGAGCAGCCCUAGAAAAGACAGAAAGACAACAACAACAACAACAACAGCAAAGAAAUAAAGGAAGACAUUGAAACAAUUUGUGCAGACAAUCACUAAAUAAAAAGUGGAUGAAACCAGAGCAAUGGGUAGAUUGCAAUAAAUUCUACUAUCAUAAUGUGAAAAACCCUCUCUAUAGAAGAUACAAAUACUAUUCCGUAGGUAUGAGCUUAAGUUAGAAGGACUUUAGUUCUAUAAAGGCAUUUCUGGUGGGAAGCUUGAGUUCUUUUUAAAUAAGAUCAUUGAUUUUUGUCCAGUGAAAUUGUCAAACUUAGAGCAUGGAAUCAUUCAGAACAAACACUAUUUAGUAAUUUUGAAACCAGGCAUGGAAUUGAAUGCUUAGAUUUCAAGCAAAGAGAAUAUGAAUAAAUGCCAAAGAAGUACAAUGGCAUCUUAAGACUGGAACUUGGAUAGAAUGUUAACCUAAGAGCCCUUAAGUCUUCCCAUUUUUCUUAGUUACCGUCUAUAUAAUCAUCUCUUUGACUAAGCAGCAGUAAAAUGUUAGGUUGGAACCAACAUUCAGAUGUGAAUUGCUUCAAGUUAGUCCAUUUACCCUCUCAGUGAACUUAGAAAUGUGUUUCAAAUCAUAUAAAUCUCAGAUUUCUCAGCAACAAAAUGUAAAAUAAUAAUUGUUACCAAACCUACCUUCCAGAACUGUGAGGGUUCUGUAAGAAGUAAAUUAGUCUGCUGUAAAAAAUGGAGAAGCCCACAUUUGAAACAUUGUCAUUGCUGUUCUAUGAUAAUUUUUUUCUAAUGUUCAGAAAGUCAAGUGUGUUUUAAAUUCUAUCUUUCAAUAACUUUCUUGUAGACAGAAACACAGAUAUUCCUGUGUUAUUUCUUAAGUCUUUUCUUCUCUUAUAAAACAUAAAAACUGUCUGAUCUACACAUUCAUUAGUCUAAUCUGCGACCAGAGGAAAGGUGAAGGCAUAUUAAAAUAUUUAUAAAAUCUGUCACUAGGAAAACUGUAAUUGUGGACAAAAUAAUGAGAAAACAAUUUAUACAUUAAUAAGUAGAGUAUAAUUGUGAACUUGUGAAAUGGUUAACUGAACAUUGUAUUCCAAAACCAUGUUAUUUCUUAAAAUCUACAACUGUCAAAGAAUUUGAAAAACAAAUGUCUUAAGAUUUAAAAGCUAUUUUUAUAUUUAAAACUUACUAUUGAUUCCACAAUAAAGUGCUACAUGGCAGAAAUAUUAUUAGCUAAACAAACAUAUAUUUGGCUAAAAAAAUAAUUUUGACCAAAUUGAUAUUCCAUUGUCAGUAUUCAUGCCCUAUAUAUGUGGUUUCAAAUGAAAUUUUGGCCACCCCAAAAAACCUAGGUAACAGGAACCCAUCUCAUCCACAAAAUGAUUUGUUUAUUUUUUAAGCUAAUUGCAUCCCAGUAAUAAUUUUAAAUGUUAUUCCUCUACCUACCUAAUGAAAAAUAUUGGGUUCUUAAUUUGCCAUUUCUUAACUCACUCACUACUUCUCAUAGACAAAACCAAGAAAUUUCUACCUGUGUAGGCAGGGUAAAGUUUUGGGUUUUAGAAUAAGCCUUAGAAAGUUCAGAGUCUAACUGUACUACAUCAUACCUAGGGCAAGUUGGCUCCUGUUCUGUGAAAAUGGAGAUUAUAUCAUUUCUUUUCAAAUUUUUUAUAAAGGUGAAAAGGGGAUAUGCAUAGCACAAAUGAACUAGCUUGAUGCCUACCUCUUGCUGAAUGCUUAGUAAUCAUUGGUAUUGCCAUUCAGCCAAUCAUUCAUGAAUAAGAAAGAGACGGGACAGACAAAAAUUGUAGGCAUAUAAUAGAGUAUAAUAAGUAUGCUGAAGUAUGCAGAACAAGAUAAUGAAACAAAAAUGUCUAACUCAGAUUUGAGAGAGAUGUACAAGUAUUGGUUUAAUCAUUCAGUCCCUUGACAAGUAUUUAUUUAAUGCCUACUGUAUACUAUUCAUUGUCCAAGAAGCUAAAAAUACGGUAAAAGAAAAAGAUACUGUGUGUUCUACGGAGACAGGUAUCAUCUUGUGUGAGAAGACAGUAUUCUAAUUAUUACUACACUAAAUAUAAAUCACCACUGUAACGGUCGCUACUAAGUAACCCAGAGCUUCUCAGCUGAGGGUGAUUUUGUUCCUCCCUGGAGACAAUUGACAAUGUAUAGAGAUUGAGUUGUCACACUGGGGGCGUGCUACUGGCAUAAUAGGUACAUGUGACCCUCGGUAUCCAUGGCAGAUUGGUUCCAAGAAGCACUGUGGAUACCAAACUCCACAGACGUUCAAGUCCCUUAGUCACCCCCAGACCCACGGGUUCUACAUGGGCAGAUUCUGCAUCCAGAGAUUCAACCAACUGAGAAUUAUAAGCAUACUAUGCUAUCUGCGAUUAGUUGGAUCCACAGAACCCUUGGAUUCAGAAGGCUGUUGUAUUUAGUAAAUAUCUGUAUAGCAAAUGAAUUGGUUGUGAAAAGGUGAAGCACGUAUAUAAAAGUCUGGGCUUAGAGAAAGCAGGUUAUGCUAAGGAGCUGAAAUAAGGCUGGUGAGUUUGGAAUCAAAGCAAGCAAGAGGAUGAUUCCAUUGAGAAAACCAAUGAGAAUGGGUGUAUAGAUAUUUAAUCUCUAUUUACAAAUCUCAAUUACUUUGUAUGUAAAACUUAAAUUGUCCCUCCUGAAAAUCCAUAUAAUUUCUUUUUAUUUUGUUCUCGUUGGAAAACAGGUUAUACAUGUUUAAGUGAAUCCAAUCUUUUACUUUCUUUUUUUCCUUCCUUCUUUUCUUUUUCUUUCUUUCUUUCUUUCUUUCUUUCUUUCUCUUUCUCUUUCUUUCUUUCUUUUUUUGUCAAAGAAGUCUAAAAUAUACUAAACCUAUCAUUUUGUCUCUGCUGAUUUCUCUUUUCCAAGUUCUUAGAAUUGUGGUUUAGAUCAAGAGCACCAGAGAAGUAUCAUUUAAUGACUUGAACAAUUGUAUAUGUAAGAACAAAUAACUGGGAGGGGUUGGAUUCCUUAGAGCAGUAGUUCUUGUGGAUGGGAUGCUGGAGCAGAAAUAGGAUAUUUCAAAAAAGUUGAAAGAUCUGUUUUGACUUUCUAUUCCUGACAUUUGCAUCCAACCAAAAAAAUGGAACAUUCCUCUCUCAGAUGAAGUACUCUGAUUCCCUGGAUGAGGCAGUGUCUAUCCUUUAUCUGCUCUCCCAAUUCCUUGUAUAUCAUUUCUUAGUGAUGCUUACAUUAUACAUAUUUUCCAUUCUUCUUUACCAGUGAGGAAAUAAUUAAACAGUUUGUGAAUGAAGCAUGGUUAAUAUAUUACUGAUAUUGACUACAUUUGCAAAAAUCUUAGAACAUUUGAUGGAUCAGCAAAAGCAGCAACAUGUUAGAAGCGACUUGCCUCUGUGUGUGUAUAUAAUAUAUUCUAAGCAGUUCAUCCCACCUAUGAUUACUGGAACUGCAGCUCUCCUUCAUCGAAAAGGAAAAUAUGCCCUACUGUGCACACACAUGUAUGUACAUGUGCACGUGCAGACACACACACACACACACAUACACACACACACACACAUUUUUGCCAGUCACUCCCAAGGUCACAGUAGUAGCCCUUUGCAUUUGAAGGUGAUACAUAGGGAAUGUAAGUGAGGAAGGAAGAGAGAGAUGAGGGCAUGUGCAGCUGAGUGUUUAUGUCUACUCAUAUCAGGUUCCAACCUUAUUUGAAAAGGGGAAAGCGUAGCUAAGAAUCGGGCAGAAUCAACACAUCAUUUAAAUAUUUUACCGUUUUUAAAUCAAAUUUUCCAUGUGAUAUCCAAUAUUCCUAAAUUGCAAAUUGUGCUGCUAUAUACUUUUGUAUAGUUAUUACAGUUUCAUUAUAUAUCCAAAGGGCUGCUAUAAUUAACAAAAUCCACUUACUCCAAAUUCAGUUUGUGAAAUUGUGUGAUGUGUUUUAUCUGAGUGUCCCACCCCUUUAGCCAUGGUGUAACUAAAAACUUUGAGGGUCAUAAACUGAAAUUCUUAAAAAUGAUAGCUAAAACCUAGCAGAGUCACUCCUGGGAUUUCUUCUAUGCCCCAGGGGAGAAGUGGAAAACCCUUAUCAAUCUGUUGCCCACCUUGAAGCUUUUCUAGCACAGGUGAAAAGUUGCAUCUUUCUCAUGGAUGAAGGAACUUCAGGAGUAUUUUGUCUAUAUCGUGACAUUUUUUGAAGUAGACUAAAUCUAGAAUGAGGCCAUGUUCUGGGGGCUGAGCAAUCCUCACUCCCAUGUAGGAUGGUGACUUUUACCUACAUAUGAACAUCAGAAAUCCCUGGGGUCCUUUCAGAAUGCACCUGCCUUGGACUCAGUAGGUCUAGAGUGGAGCCUUGGCCUGUGUAUUUUAAAAAGACUCCCGCGUAAACCCAUUGUACACUCUGGAUUAAAAAUCACCAAUCUUGGAGUUCCCGUCAUGGCUCAGCAGAAAUGAAUAUGAGUAGUAUCCAUAAGGACACAGGUUCAAUCCCUGGCCUCCCUCAGUGAGUUAAGGAUUGGGAAUUGCCACGAGCUCCAGUGUAGGUCCAGAUGCAGCUUGGAUCCAGCCUUGCGGUGGCUGUGGCACAGGCCAGUGGCUACAGCUCUGAUUUGACCUCUAGCUUGGGAAACUCCAUAAGACACAGGUGCAGCCCCCCCCCCAAAAAAAAGGACAAAAAAUAAAUCACCAAUCUAGAGUUAUCUUCCCACAGUCAUGCUAUGAGGGCUCCUAAUAUUUGUCCCUAUUGGACAGAAUGGUAAGAGAUACCAUUCUUUAGGACAAUGACCUGCUACCCUAUGAGUUUUGGAUGUAGACUACCCUAACUUGCCUUCCCUUUCUUUCCACACUUUUGCUUAUUAUUCACAUCUUAUAUGAAAGCAAAGCUCUAACUUUUUUGCCCAUGUUUAUAUAAUAUUUCAAAGAAAAUUUCUUAUAGUAUUAAAUAUUUCCAGAGUUCUUGUCGUGGCUCAGUGGUUAAUGAACCCGACUAGCAUCCACGAGGACAUGGGUUGGAGCCCUGACCUCACUCAAUGGGUUAAGGAUCUGGCGUUGCCGUGAGCUGUGGUGGAGGUUGCAGACAUGGCUCAGAUCCUGCAUUGCUGGGGCUCUGACAUAGGCCAAUGGCUACAGCUCAGGUUCACCCCUUAGCCUGGGAACCUCCAUAUGC